rnacentral:tRNA from 1 species
GCCGGGAUGGUGGAACUGGUAGACGCACGGGACUCAAAAUCCCGCGGCCGCAAGGCCAUGAGAGUUCGAUUCUCUCUCCCGGCACCA